GUUUAUCGUACCUUGUUGCUUCGGCGGGCCCGCCGCAAGGCCGCCGGGGGGCUUCCGUCCCCGGGCCCGCGCCCGCCGAAGACACCUGUGAACGCUGUAUGAAGAUUGCAGUCUGAGCGAAAAGCUAAAUUUGUUAAAACUUUCAACAACGGAUCUCUUGGUUCCGGCAUCGAUGAAGAACGCAGCGAAAUGCGAUAAGUAAUGUGAAUUGCAGAAUUCAGUGAAUCAUCGAGUCUUUGAACGCACAUUGCGCCCCCUGGUAUUCCGGGGGGCAUGCCUGUCCGAGCGUCAUUGCUGCCCUCAAGCACGGCUUGUGUGUUGGGCCCUCGUCCCCCGGGACGGGCCCGAAAGGCAGCGGCGGCACCGCGUCCGGUCCUCGAGCGUAUGGGGCUUCGUCACCCGCUCUGUAGGCCCGGCCGGCGCCUGCCGACACCAUCAAUCUUUUUUCCAGGUUGACCUCGGAUCAGGUAGGGAUACCCGCUGAACUUAAGCAUAUCAAUAAGCGGAGGAA
rnacentral:rRNA from 1 species